rnacentral:rRNA from 1 species
UACGUAGGGACCAAGCGUUGUUCGGAUUUACUGGGCGUAAAGGGCGCGUAGGCGGCCCUACAAGUCACUUGUGAAAUCUCCGGGCUUAACUCAGAACGGCCAAGUGAUACUGCAGUGCUAGAGUGUGGAAGGGGCAAUCGGAAUUCUUGGUGUAGCGGUGAAAUGCGUAGAUAUCAAGAGGAACACCUGAGGUGAAGACGGGUUGCUGGGCCAACACUGACGCUGAGGCGCGAAAGCCAGGGGAGCAAACGGG